AAACUUUUAACAACGGAUCUCUUGGUUCUGGCAUCGAUGAAGAACGCAGCGAAAUGCGAUAAGUAAUGUGAAUUGCAGAAUUCAGUGAAUCAUCGAAUCUUUGAACGCACAUAGCGCCCGCCAGCAUUCUGGCGGGCAUGCCUGUUCGAGCGUCAUUU
rnacentral:rRNA from 1 species